rnacentral:rRNA from 1 species
AAAAAGCUCGUAGUUGGAUUUCUGUGUGGGUGAGGCGGCCGGCCACUCGUGGUUGUAGCUAGUUAUCACCUGUACAUCUUGUCACAAGCCACGCUGGUCUUAAUUGAUUGGCGCUGGGGACUGACUCGUUUACUUUGAGAAAAUUAGAGUGUUCAAAGCAGGCUAUCGCCUUGAAUAUAUUAGCAUGGAAUAAUGAUAUAGGACUUUGGUUCUAUUUUGUCGGUUGUUCGAGAACCGAAGUAAUGAUUGAUAGGGACAGUUGGGGGCGUCAGUAUUCUGAAGCGAGAGGUGAAAUUCUUGGACCUUCGGAAGACUAACAACUGCGAAAGCAUUCGCCUAGGAUGUUCUCUUUAAUCAAGAACGAAAGUUGGGGGAUCGAAGACGAUCAGAUACCGUUCGUAGUCUCAACUAUAAACUAUGCCAGCUAGGGAUUGGUGGACGUUUAUCUACGACUCCAUCAGCACCUUACGAGAAAUCCAAAGCAUUUGGGUUCCGGGGGGAGUAUGGUCCCAAGGCUG